rnacentral:rRNA from 1 species
UACGUAGGGUGCAAGCGUUGUCCGGAAUCACUGGGCGUAAAGGGCGCGUAGGCGGCUCGGUAAGUAGGGGGUGAAAUCCUGCGGCUUAACCGCAGGGCUGCCUUCUAAACUGUCGAGCUUGAGCACGGUAGAGGCAGAUGGAAUUCCCGGUGUAGCGGUGGAAUGCGUAGAGAUCGGGAAGAACAUCAGUGGCGAAGGCGGUCUGCUGGGCCGUUGCUGACGCUGAGGCGCGACAGCGUGGGGGAGCAAACAGG